rnacentral:rRNA from 1 species
AUGGUUAGAGGGACUGUGGUAUCCCCAGCCCAUCAGGGUUCAAAUCCUGGUGCUCGCAUUUAUUCCUGGAUUUAUUUCAGAAUUUCCAACGAUGUGCAUUUAGUGGGAGGAGACGUUUUCGUCGACGACGAGGUGCCUACGGUGUACUGUGUUCAAAAAAAAAUCCCCAACAUAUUCACUUGCCCCUCCCUGGGUGUCUCACCCUUUUGGAAAGUUGUUCUUUGGGCUGCACAAGCUGUCAAGUUUGGUUAUUCCUCGAAUAUUGGUAAUGGUAAAAAAGCAAGAUUUGGGGAGGAUCAUUGGUUUGGAUCUGCCCCUCUGGCUACUCUGUAUUGGGACUUGUAUAAUCUUGCCAAUGAGCAUGAUAGUACCAUAGAUAGAGUGUGGGACGGGGUCAACCUUAAAAUUACUUUUAGAAGAUGUUUUACCAAUGAGCUCCUCUCUCUUUGGUUUGAACUACUAGAGAUUGUCAAGUCCAUUGUUUAUACUGAUGCAGAAGACUCGCUAGCCUAUAAUCUUAAUUCCAGUGGGGUCUACACUGUUAAAUUGUUCUAUAAAGUGGUUAAUUUUAGGGGGGUACUGCCUAAUAGUACCCCUGCUGUGUGGAACAUCAAAAUACCUGCUAGAAUACAUAUUUUUCUUUGGCUGGUGGUUAAUAAUAAGAUUUUGGCUAGAGAUAAUUCGAGUAAGAGACAAAAUGUCCCUGACACUACUUGUCCCUUUUGCCCUGUGGAUGAAUCGUGCCAUCAUUUAUUUUUUGGUUGUGACAUUGCUGUUGAAUUCUGGAAAGCCGUAUCUAGUAUUUCUGGAUAUAAAGGACCAGCCAAUAUGCUAUUAAACUGGCUGCUAUUAACAUAA